rnacentral:lncRNA from 1 species
CGCGGAGGGCCGCUUCCCGAGGUGGGCGGUAGCUAGCUGCUAGAAGGCGCUUCCAGGAAAAACUGGAUUUGUUGAGAAAAGACUCCUUGCUCAUCCAGGCUGAUGCCCCAGUGAAGCUUGCCUAGUUUUUGUACAGCUCAUCGUAGAUGAAGGACCUGCUCUUGCCAGGGCUUUCUGAGGAAAUUGAGGACCAAAGAGACUACACACGUCUGCAAAUUGAAUCUCCUUGCACCCAAACCUUCUUUUUUCUAAGGAAUCUCCCAGAUGGUUAGGAAGACUGUCUUGUUUUUCAGGGUCCCCUUCUCUAGAUGCCACAGGAGUGACCCUACAAUGUACACAAAGAGACAGAAAUUCAAUCUGGUGCAGUGACCGUGGGAUACCGACAAAGUCUGAUUGGUCACCCGGUGUGCUUCUGAGCUGUGACAAGCAGCGAUUCAUCAUUUCUAUAGAGCAAAGCUUGAGAUGUACAAGGAUCAAGAGCUUCACAGAGGAGCUGCUGCUGAGCGUGGGAGAAAAUAGCCUGUCCUCCCGGAGGCUGGAGGGCAAAAGGAGCCCAUCAACGCAAGUCCCUGUGGCUCAGCCUCUUGGAGCAAAGAGCAGGUGGAAGAGGGUGAAGAGUGGAUCUCGAGGGGCACAUGAAGACCAUCCAGCAUGCAUGAGAGACGGCUAAGGAGCUGGGGCGGCCCUUGUGUAUUUUCACCAGCACCGGAGAAAACAGUAAGUCUAGGCGUCACCUCACCCAGCUGGCGUGGUCACGAGUUAGGAAGAUGAACUGCUAAGGAAGAGGCUGCGAGGAAGCCGAUGUUUGGACAAAGGUUAAGGAGGCUGAAAUCUGCA